rfam:Streptococcus pneumoniae 2070335 gspj15.contig.2, whole genome shotgun sequence.
AACUAUCUUCAGGGCAGGGUGAAAUUCCCUACCGGUGGUAUAGCCCACGAGCCGAAAGGCAUGAUUUGGUGAAAUUCCAAAGCCGACAGUAUAGUCUGGAUGAAAGAAGAUAAAA